GGAGAAAUACCCAAGCUGGCCGAAGGGGCUCCCCUGCUAAGGGAGUAGGUCGGGAAACUAGCGCGAGGGUUCAAAUCCCUCUUUCUCCGCCA
rnacentral:tRNA from 1 species